GGUGAAGGUGAACCGUGAGGUUUGCUGGAGGUAUCGGAAGUGAGAAUGCUGACAUGAGUAGCGACAAACAGGGUGAGAGACCCUGUCGCCGAAAGACCAAGGGUUCCUGCGUAAAGCUAAUCUGCGCAGGGUUAGCCGGCCCCUAAGGCAAGGCCGAAAGGCGUAGUCGAUGGGAACCACGUUAAUAUUCGUGGGCCAAGGGA
rnacentral:rRNA from 14 species